AAAAGCUUAUCCUCUCUCUCUCUCUUCUUCCCCACCCCACGUGACAGAAACCCCUCUUCUUCCUCUCUUCUUCGUGAGACCCAGCUGAACAGAAACGGAAGCAGCUCGCCUGGGAUCAGAGCAGCCGCCGUCGCCGCCCAAGCUCAGCCGCUCGCCGGUCGUCCUUCCCCGCGCGACGCCGCGCGUUCAGCCGCUCGCCCCUUGCGCCCGUGCGCCGUCUGCCCCCGUCCAGCGAAGCUUCCGCCUCUGCCCCGCCGCUGUCCAACCCCUGUUCAGCCACCGUCGGACCGCCGUCCAGCUCCGAUCGGCCGUCGUGCAGCCUCCCCGGAGCUCCGCCCAUCUUUCCCGACCCCUUGCCGCCCCCAUCCCUCUCUCUUUCUCUUUGUUUUGCAGCGAUCCAGCAACCCCAUCGUGUGGGUAUCCAGCCGGCUUCGGGCCCGCUUUGGGCCAUUUCCGGGCCCCGAACCCGAGCCGUGCUUUGGGAAGAGUUGUUCCUCGCGUCGCCCCGGUCGGAUUGAUCCGAUUUGCGCGCGAUUUGGUGAGUAAUCUCACUAAUCUUGGAUUAGUUGGCUAAUUAUGCUUAAGGUUGGUUUAGAUUUAAUUAAUUAUGUUUAGGUUGUUAGAUUAGAAUAAAUUAGCAAUUAUUAGUCAAUUGUGGUGCGAUUUAGAUAAAUUGAUUGCGCAAUUAAUAAGUAGACGUGGUCUACUAAUUAUUGGAAGUGCCUCGGGAUUUUUCCCGACCCUUAGUGGGCUCCAAUUAGGCUUUUCGGGCCUAAGUGGAAUUUUUAGUAUUUAAAUAUUAAUUUUCGGAAUUAAAUUAAAUAAUUAUUUAUUUUCCGAAAAUUCAACUGAGAUGGCCCGAGACCGGAAUAUUAUGCUGAUGACGGUGGUGAAGUCCGUUUAUUUAAUUGGGCUUUAUUUUGAGCUAAAUUGAAUUUUUAAUAUUAAUUAUUUAAUUUUCGAAAUUAAUUAUUUAAUUAAUUAUUUUUCAGAAAUUAAGAUAGUGAUGGCCGACGACCGAAAUCUCGUGCUGAUUGUCGUGGCGCAGUUCGUUUAUUUAUUUGAGUUCUACGUUGCAUGGAAUUAAAUAAAUUGUGAUGGUUUAGGGAUUUACCCUAAUUUGAUUGGAAUUGAUUGAGAUUGAAUUGUAGAUUGGUAAAUGGCCAAGUAUGUUAUUCAGCAUUUCUAAUGCUUUGUUGAGUUUGAUUGAGAAAUCGUUGGGCAUUGGUUGUCGGUAUUGAAAGUAGAUUGGUAAUCACUUAAAAGAAAACACGUGGGCUCGGUGAAUUGGAAUAUCACCUGGAGAAUGCACGUGAAUUCAGUGGUUGAAUAUGUCACCUUGGCGAAAAGGUCGCUUGAGAGAAUGCACGUGGCUCGGAGACUCGGUAUGUCGUCCUGGAGAAUGCACGUGGCUCGGUGAAUUGAUGCAUCACUUUGGUAAGCGAGUACCUUAGAGAAUGCACGUGGGCCCAGGCAUCUAAAAGGACACGUGGCUCGGUGAUCUGAUGCGUCACUUUGGUAAGCGAGUACCUUAGAGAAUGCACGUGGGUCCAGUAUUCGGAAAUAGCAUCUAAAAGGGCACGUGGCUCGGUGACUUGAUGUACCACCUUGGCGAAGAGGUCGCCUUAGAGAAUGCACGUGGGCCCAAGGUUCGAGGCACGUGGCUCGGAGACUUGGAAUGUCGUCCUAGAGAAUGCACGUGGCCUCGCUUUUAUAUACUCCUCCGUGGAGAAUGAUUUGUGUGACAUGUAAUCGACUGGUUCGAUUUGUUUUGAGUAAAUGGGUGCCUAUUGUGAAUUGUACUGACUUGCAGGUGAGAUUUGAGGCCAAGGUAAGUCUUCUGCCCUGUGCGUGUUUAGGCAGCCUGUAGUAUAAUAGUUUACUAAUCUGGCCUUAGUGGGGUAGAACUCGCUGAGACGUAGUCUCAUCCCGGUUUGGGGAAAUCAUUUCAGGACCCCGCUGAGGAGAUGAGGAGGAGGAGUCUGAGAAGGAUUUUUGGGAGAGGAAGAUAAUCCCGAGAGGGGCCUUGAGUACAGCCCGGGUGAACUGAAGUUCUAUCUUCUUUUGA
rnacentral:lncRNA from 1 species